rnacentral:rRNA from 1 species
GACGAACGCUGGCGGCGCGCCUAACACAUGCAAGUCGAACGGAGCUUAGAGAGCUUGCUUUUUAAGCUUAGUGGCGAACGGGUGAGUAACGCGUGAGUAACCUGCCCUAGAGUGGGGGACAACAGUUGGAAACGACUGCUAAUACCGCAUAAGCCCACGGUACCGCAUGGCACUGAGGGAAAAGGAUUUAUUCGCUUUAGGAUGGACUCGCGUCCAAUUAGCUAGUUGGUGAGGUAACGGCCCACCAAGGCGACGAUUGGUAGCCGGACUGAGAGGUUGAACGGCCACAUUGGGACUGAGACACGGCCCAGACUCCUACGGGAGGCAGCAGUGGGGGAUAUUGCACAAUGGGGGAAACCCUGAUGCAGCGACGCCGCGUGGAGGAAGAAGGUUUUCGGAUUGUAAACUCCUGUCGUUAGGGACGAUAAUGACG